rnacentral:tRNA from 1 species
GACUAUAUAUAUAAUGGUAGAAUGCUCGCCUGCCACGCGGGCGCCCCGGGUUCGAUUCCCGGCCGAUGCA